rnacentral:rRNA from 1 species
GUAGUUAGCCGGGGCUUCCUCCUUGGCUACCGUCACUUUCUUCGUCACCAAGGACAGAGGUUUACAACCCGAAAGCCUUCUUCCCUCACGCGGCGUUGCUGGGUCAGGCUUGCGCCCAUUGCCCAAUAUUCCCCACUGCUGCCUCCCGUAGGAGUCUGGACCGUGUCUCAGUUCCAGUGUGGCCGAUCAGCCUCUCAGCUCGGCUACCCAUCGUUGGCAUGGUGGGCCAUUACCCCGCCAUCUACCUAAUGGGACGCGAACCCCUCUUUCAGCGGAUUGCUCCUUUGACCUCGUCCCGAUGCCAGGUCGUGGUCUUAUGCGGUAUUAGCAUCUGUUUCCAAAUGUUAUCCCCCUCUGAAAGGCAGGUUGUUCACGCGUUACUCACCCGUUCGCCACUAAACUACAUCCGAAAACGUAGUUCCGUUCGACUUGCAUGUGUUAAGCACGCCGCCAGCGUUCAUCCUGAGCCAGAAUCGAACCCUGA